CCGGUACCGGUACCGGUCAUCCCGGUCCCGGUACCGGUGCCCGUGCCGGUGGCCCCGGCGCCGCCGCCGCUGCAGAGCCGCCCGCCCGUGUCGCCGGUUGAUGCCAAGAUUGAACAGCAUGACUUGACCUCACCCCGACAGUUGGUGCAACCAUGCUCCAUGACAUGUGGUCGCGGAGUGCCCACGCUGGCCUGCGGGCUGUGUCUGUGCCUCUACCACCCCGCCUGCGCCGGCCUCACUGCCCCUAGACCAGAGGGGACCUUCUUCUGCAAGAACUGCCGCAAGUCCAGUUCGCCGUCGUCCCCCCCGCCGCCGCUGACGCACAAGUCGGGGCUGACGUCGCUGGUGGCGC